rnacentral:rRNA from 1 species
UGGGGAAUUUUGGACAAUGGGCGAAAGACUGAUCCAGCAAUGCCGCGUGUGUGAAGAAGGCCUUCGGGUUGUAAAGCACUUUUGUCCGGAAAGAAAUCCUUGGCUCUAAUACAGUCGGGGGAUGACGGUACCGGAAGAAUAAGCACCGGCUAACUACGUGCCAGCAGCCGCGGUAAUACGUAGGGUGCAAGCGUUAAUCGGAAUUACUGGGCGUAAAGCGUGCGCAGGCGGUUUGCUAAGACCGAUGUGAAAUCCCCGGGCUCAACCUGGGAACUGCAUUGGUGACUGGCAGGCUAGAGUAUGGCAGAGGGGGGUAGAAUUCCACGUGUAGCAGUGAAAUGCGUAGAGAUGUGGAGGAAUACCGAUGGCGAAGGCAGCCCCCUGGGCCAAUACUGACGCUCAUGCACGAAAGCGUGGGGAGCAAAACAGGAUUAGAUACCCUGGUAGUCCACGCCCUAAAACGAUGUCAACUAGUUGUUGGGGAUUCAUUUCCUUAGUAACGUAGCUAACGCGUGAAGUUGACCGCCUGGGGAGUACGGUCGCAAGAUUAAAACUCAAAGGAAUUGACGGGGUCAUAGCUGUUUCCU